AUUGUUUCUCAGCCUUUUGGCUAAAGUCAAGUGUAGUAUCUGUUCUUAUCAAUUUAGAAAAAGAUAGGUUCAGUUGGAAAGAAGAAUUCUAAGAUAUCUCUGAAAUUCUCAUUGUCUGAUACACACACCCUGGAAAAGCCUUUUUCUUUCACUGUCAGUGAGACCUGUGAAUAUGAUGGCAUAGGUGCUCUU